UACGAAGGUCCCAAGCGUUAUCCGGAUUUAUUGGGUUUAAAGGGUGCGUAGGCGGGCUAUUAAGUCAGUGGUGAAAGCCCCAAGCUUAACUUGGGAACUGCCAUUGAUACUGAUGGUCUUGAGUACAUUUGAGGUGGGCGGAAUGUGUCAUGUAGCGGUGAAAUGCUUAGAUAUGACACAGAACACCGGUGGCGAAGGCGGGUCUCUGGGCCGAUACUGACGCUGAGGAGCGAAAGCGUGGGGAGCGAACAGG
rnacentral:rRNA from 1 species